UCCAGGGAGUCUUCUCUUCUUAUGAGGUGGCCAAAGUAUUGGAGCCUCAGCUUCAGGAUCUGUCCUUCCAGUGAGCACUCAGGGCUGAUUUCCUUAAGAAUGGAGAGGUUUGAUCUUCUUGCAGUCCAUGGAACUCUCAAGAGUCUCCUCCAGCACCAUAAUUCAAAAGCAUCAAUUCUUCGGCGAUCAGCCUUCUUUAUGGUCCAGCUUUCACUUUCAUACAUCACUACUGGGAAAACCAUAGCUUUUACUAUAUGG
rnacentral:lncRNA from 1 species